rnacentral:rRNA from 1 species
AUUGAACGCUGGCGGCAGGCCUAACACAUGCAAGUCGAGCGGAUGAAGGGAGCUUGCUCCUGGAUUCAGCGGCGGACGGGUGAGUAAUGCCUAGGAAUCUGCCUGGUAGUGGGGGAUAACGUCCGGAAACGGGCGCUAAUACCGCAUACGUCCUGAGGGAGAAAGUGGGGGAUCUUCGGACCUCACGCUAUCAGAUGAGCCUAGGUCGGAUUAGCUAGUUGGUAGGGUAAAGGCCUACCAAGGCGACGAUCCGUAACUGGUCUGAGAGGAUGAUCAGUCACACUGGAACGUAGACACGGUCCAGACUCCUAAGGGAGGCAGCAGUGGGGAAUAUUGGACAAUGGGCGAAAGCCUGAUCCAGCCAUGCCGCGUGUGUGAAGAAGGUCUUCGGAUUGUAAAGCACUUUAAGUUGGGAGGAAGGGCAGUAAGUUAAUACCUUGCUGUUUUGACGUUACCAACAGAAUAAGCACCGGCUAACUUCGUG